UACCAUUCUCAACAAAGUGCAUACUUAUCCAGGUGGACUGCUUCUGCGUAGGCUCUCUUGGCAUUUUCUAUAUCUUCCAGAUUGGUCAGAGCCACUGCAACAAAGAAAGCACUGCAGCUGGAGAGCUCAGCUUAGAAGACAAAAGGAGUAUUAAAGACUACCCCCAAAGUAAACUUCACCCUGUCAGCUCAUGGCACCAGAGUUUACUAAGUCAGCUUAGAUACCUGGUGCUAUCUUCAACCAUCUCUUCUACAGUCAAUCAGUUGCCAGGUUCUAUGCAUCCUUUUUUUGCAGUUUCUUUUCUGACACUGCCCUUGUUCAGGCCCAAGUAGUUUUAGGCUUUCCAUUUAUUCCCCAGUGUCAAAGUCCCCACCUGCCUCCAUUCCACCUUCCACAGCGCUGCCAGGUAUCUCACUGCCUUACAAAUCUGACCACAUUACCAUCCUACUUAGGAAUCCUCACUGGCCCCCCACAUCUAUAACCAUGAUCUUUACACUUUCAUUUAGCAGUAAAACACUCCCCCCACUUUUUAAAAUCAGUAUUUCCUUGACACCUAAUAUAUAAAACAAAAACAGCUGCUCUGGAAGCCCUGCCCAUUCCACCUCCCCACCAGCUAUGCACUCACUCCUACCAGGCACCUAAGAGGAGAUCUAGGAAGACAGCUGGACAAACAUGGCCUCUAAGAUAAAGUCCUUGCACUGUACGCAUGACCUCCAUAAUCUGACCCCAGAAUAUCUUUCCUGAUUCAUCUCCCAUCAUAUUCUCUAACACUAACCCCCACUAACAGCAAGGGACACUGCAGUUUCAUGGCUGCAUGCCUUUCUUCACAGUGGCUCCUCAGCCAUUCUGUGCUAUUCCAUUUUAGCUUGUUGUUCAGGAUCCAGUUUGAAUGCCAUCUCUACUUUGUAAAGUUAGCAUCGCUGUUAUCUCUUACAUUAUGGCUGUUUACAUUUCUGUGUUCCAUUAGAACCCAGCUAUCUAAAGAAACUAUCAACACAGUAAACAGACAAUGUACAAAAUGGGAGAAAAUAUUUGCAAACCAUGCAGGUCUAAUAUCCAGGAUCUAUAAGGAACUUAAGCAAAUUUACAAGAAGAAUACAAUCCCAUUAAAAUGGGCAAAGGACAUAAACAGACACUUCAAAAGAAGUCAUGUAUGCAGCCAACAAGCAUAUGAAAAACUCUAUCACUGAUUAGAGAAAUGCAAAUUGAAACCACAGUGAGAUAACCAUCUCACACCAGUCAAAAUGGCUAUUAUUAAAAACUCAAAAUAUAACAUCCUGGUGAGGCUGCAGAGAAAAGGGAAUGCUUAUACACUGUUGAUGGGAGUGUAAAUUAGUUCAACCAUUGUGGAAAGCAAUCUGGCAAUUCCCCAAAGAGCUAAAAAUACAACUACCCUUCGACCCAGCAAUCCCAUUACUGGGUAUAUGCCCAAAGGAAUGUAAAUCGUUCUGCCAUAAAGACACAUGCAUGUGUGUGUUCAAUGCAGCACUAUUCACAAUAGCAAAGAUGUGAAAUCAACCUAAAUGCCCAUCAAUGGUAGACUGGAUAAACAAAAUGUAAAUGUACACCAUGGAAUACGACACAGCCAUACAAAAGAACAAGAUCGUGUCCUUUGCAGCAACAUAGAUGGAGCUGGAGGCCACCAUCCUUAGCAAAUUAAUAAAGGAUAGAAAACCAAAUCCUGCAUGUUCUCACUAUAAGAGCUAAAUGAUGAGAACACAUGGAGACACAGAGGGAAAC
rnacentral:lncRNA from 1 species